GACGAACGCUGGCGGCGUGCUUAACACAUGCAAGUCGAACGAUGAAGCCUUAGCUUGCUUUGGUGGAUUAGUGGCGAACGGGUGAGUAACACGUGAGCAACGUGCCCAGGACUCUGGAAUAACCGCGGGAAACCGUGGCUAAUACCGGAUAGGUGCCGAGGCCGCAUGGUCUUCGGUUGGAAAGUUUUUGCGGUUCUGGAUCGGCUCACGGCCUAUCAGCUUGUUGGUGGGGUAAUGGCCUACCAAGGCGACGACGGGUAGCCGGCCUGAGAGGGUGACCGGCCACAAUGGGACUGAGACACGGCCCAGACUGCUACGGGAGGCAGCAGGGGGGAAUAUUGCAAAAUGGGCGGAAGCCUGAUGCAGGAACGGCGCGUGGGGGAUGACGGCCUUCGGGUUGUAAACCUCUUUUAGUAGGGAAGAAGCGCAAGUGACGGUACCUGCAGAAAAAGCACCGGCUAACUACGUG
rnacentral:rRNA from 1 species